CAGAUGUUACUAACUGUCAUGACGGUUGAUAUGCACAAUUCUACCUUGAAAGCCUAGCUUGCCCUUUUUCAACCCAAGGGACAGAGGACGCCAAAAAGCUGCUCGUAUCAAAACAAUCGAGUGACAAAUAACUUGUAAGAGUACUUUCUUCUCAAGUGCUUUCAAAUUCUGUUUGUUAUUUCAAAUAUUAAACAAGACACACAUGUGAAGGAUCUCUUUAAACUAUAUUGCUUCUGGAUUAGUUUUGGUUGUCUCCUUGCUGCUAAUCGUUAGAUGUAUAUUUUCUUCCAGACGAAUUACUUGUCAUUCCAUUUUGGUCAUUUCUUUCCCUUUGACAGUACCACUAACACAAGCAACACUGCAAUGCAAGGAUAAAGAACUUAGGAGGCUCAUUUUAUCUGCUUUGAUCAUGAGGGUAGGGUGGGGAUACCAAAGAAAAAGAAUAUAAGAGAAAGAGAGUUCGGAAUGAACUUCGUUUGAGAGGGUCCUAUCUAUUCUAAGGUUUUGUAGAUUGAAGUGCAAGCUUUUGUCAACUUUGUUAUAUGACCUAGAAUUUUGAACAAGAAUUAUUCCUACUAUAAAUUCUUUUCUCUUGUUUCUACACAGACUGGCAAAUUUUAUCUAUAGUUUGACCUAUCAAUAAAUAAAAGAAAAAUUGUAUAUGUAGUUUUACCUUUUCUGAUAAUUUGUAUAUGGUUUCUUGCUUUGUAAAUCACUUAAUUACUCCUUUUGGGCAGCAUAAUAUGAUCAUGUGAUUGUCAUGAGUACUGCUUGUGAGUUUUCUUAACCAUAGUUCUUAUGAUAUUUAUUUAUAACAUAUAUCACUUGAAGUUGCACUGGUCUGGACAUCAGAUAUGCUAACUAUGGUAUAUUUGUUUGUUCAUUGCUUAAGUUGCACAGUUCAGCGCUUUUGUCAUGUCCCAGAUGUGUAGCUGGUAUUGAUAAAGAGCUUGUCAUUUUCAUUCAAACAAGGCGGACUGUUACUAAUUAUGGUUUUGUUUGCUAGUACAUUUGAACACAGGACAACCCUGCAUUUGGUGCUUCUAUAUCUGCUGUGUUUCUACUUGUCAUCAUUUGAGUUGUUAUUUAUGUGACAAAAAGUUGUUCCUAUUCUUGAUGUUGAUCUCCGAAAGAAGUUAUAUGUAUAUUUUGUGAACUGGAAGUUAGGUUCAGUGUUUCGGAUCCCAACAAGAAUGGAAGAUGGUGCAACAUAGAUCAUGGACGUUACUUCAAAUGGAAAAAACCUUAGCCUGCCUCACUUGCUUUUUUCACUACAUAAAUAAGGAUAUAAGUGAAGUCCGAUAUGUAUGGAUGAUGGAUGACACACCCAGAAUUGCUAGGUAUAAACUUAGAGAUUAAUUAUAAUAUGUUUCUUUCCAUUCCUCAUGAGCCACUUAUUUCUCCGAAACAAGAGAUUAAAGUCAUCUUUCUCCUUUUCCCUAAGAAGUCGACGGUGUUAAUUUAUUCAAGUUGUUGAGACCAUAAAAAAGGGAAGAAACAAAUGAAGGUCUCUUGUUAAUUCAAAUGAUUUUAGGUUAAUUUGAUUUGGUUUGUCU
rnacentral:lncRNA from 1 species